UUCAUUUCUCUCUCUUAUCCAUGCGAAAUCUUAGCUCUCAAUCGGUUCUCUUUCUCCUUUCCGGUGAGCGAUGUUACAACCACCGUCGACGUAACCAGUACACUCUAAGGUCCCAAUUUGGCUGGUGCUAGACACCACUUGGUUGGAAUCUUCAUAAUAAAAAUAUGGAGCUUUUGUUGUCAAAACAAUAGUGGAUAAUUUGAAGAUCAUCGGUGCCAGAAAUUCUAUAUCAGUGGUGGCGGGUAAAUGCAAUUUAAUUGAAC
rnacentral:lncRNA from 1 species